rnacentral:rRNA from 1 species
GAAAUCCUACCGGGGGGCAGCAGUGGGGAAUAUUGCACAAUGGGCGCAAGCCUGAUGCAGCGACGCCGCGUGCGGGAUGGAGGCCUUCGGGUUGUAAACCGCUUUUGUUCAAGGGCAAGGCACGGUCUUUGGCCGUGUUGAGUGGAUUGUUCGAAUAAGCACCGGCUAACUACGUGCCAGCAGCCGCGGUAAUACGUAGGGUGCAAGCGUUAUCCGGAUUUAUUGGGCGUAAAGGGCUCGUAGGCGGUUCGUCGCGUCCGGCGUGAAAGUCCAUCGCUUAACGGUGGAUCCGCGCCGGGUACGGG